UACGGAAGGCAGCAGUAGGGAAUAUUGCACAAUGGGCGAAAGCCUGAUGCAGCUAUGCCGCGUGUAUGAAGAAGGCCUUAGGGUUGUAAAGUACUUUCAUCGGGGAGGAAAAACAAAACUAAUAAUUUUAUUUCUUGACGUUACCCGAAAAAGAAGCACCGGCUAACUCCGUGCCAGCAGCCGCGGUAAUACGGAGGGUGCUAGCGUUAAUCAGAAUUACUGGGCGUAAAGAGCACGUAGGUGGUUUUUUUAAGUCAGAUGUGAAAUCCCUGGGCUUAACCUAGGAACUGCAUUUUGAAACUGAAAUACUAGAGUAUCGUAGAGGGAGGUAGAAUUCUAGGUGUAGCGGUGAAAUGCGUAGAUAUCUGGAGGAAUACCUGUGGCGAAAGCGGCCUCCUAAACGAAUACUGACACUGAGGUGCGAAAGCGUGGGGAGCAAACAGGGAUUAGAUACC
rnacentral:rRNA from 1 species